rnacentral:rRNA from 1 species
GACGAACGCUGGCGGCGUGCUUAACACAUGCAAGUCGAACGGAAAGGCCCUGCUUUUGUGGGGUGCUCGAGUGGCGAACGGGUGAGUAACACGUGAGUAACCUGCCCUUGACUUUGGGAUAACUUCAGGAAACUGGGUCUAAUACCGGAUAGGAGCUCCUGCUGCACGGUGGGGGUUGGAAAGUUUCGGCGGUUGGGGAUGGACUCGCGUCUUAUCAGCCUGUUGGUGGGUUAGUGCCUUACCAAGGCCUUGACUGGUAGCCGUCCUGAGAGGGUGACCGGCCUCAUUGGGACUGAGAUACGGCCCAGACUCCUACGGGAGGCAGCAGUAAGGAAUAUUGCACAAUGGGCGGAAGCAUGCUGCAGCAAGGCAGCGUGCGGGAUGACGGCCUUCGGGUUGUAGACCGCUUUCGCAUGUGACGAAGCGUGAGUGGCGGUAAUGGGUAAAGAAGCACCGGCUAACUACGUG